rnacentral:lncRNA from 1 species
ACUUUCUUUCCCUUCUUUAUUCCCCUCUUUUAUAGGCCAACAGAGCAAAUCUUUCUGUGUAGAAAACCCUCCAUGCCUUGUGGACACAAUAUGUUCUUGUUUAUUGCCUAAAAGUAACAAAAAGGCUUUAUGCAGAUUAAAAAGUCCAAGAUCUAGAAAAACUAACAAUUUCGCACCAAAUUCUGCUAUUGUUCAAGGUUCUAGCUAUAGUUAUUCUACUAGGUUUAAAAUGUGCAUUGUAAGUCUUUGCUGUGAUGAUACUUGGGAGUUUUUUCUUAAAGGUUGAGCAAUUUGAGUAGAUAAAAGUGUAUCAAGGUGUUUGGGGACAGAGAAUGAAUAUUAGCAAUGACAAAUUUGAUUGCAAGAAAUUGAACCACGAUUCAACCUAACUUAGUGAAAAACCACUGGAGUAUCUCCUGGACUCCGAGGACAGAGAGGCAGCUGGAUUUCCAGAACAGAACUACGCUCUGCAGUUCUGUUGGAAAAGUUCCAGGCAAGGGACCAAGUGGCCAAGCUUGAUGAUCAAUUCCACAGAGCCAGCACUAGGACAAUAAACCACGCUUUGCUGGAGUUGAUCCCCCUGCUUGCAAUAUGGAUUCUUCUCCCACUUGAAGAACUCACUCCUCCUGUCUGCCCUUUUACCAUCCUCUCCAUACAGGAAGCCUUUCUAAACCAACGCCUGGCUGAUCCUUCUCUUCCCUCUCAAAGAACCUGGUUUUUAGUCCAAGAUCUAUUUCUAUUGCACUGCAUGAUGCAGGGCAAAUAACCUCACUCACUUUGGUCUCAGUUUCCUUAUUUCUAAAAUGAAGGGGUUAUAGCAUUUUAUUGAUCUUUAAUUUGUUUUUAGCAGCCAAAUUCUCUUAUUUUAUAAAUAAAGUUAUUUUAUAAAGUCUAA